rnacentral:lncRNA from 1 species
AAAAUGUGUUGGUCUUAGCUCUUUUGUAAUUAAUCUGGAUGUACCUCAAAAGACUCUUUAAGACUGUGAUUUUAAAAGGCUUUCGUC